UACCUCUCCAAAGGUAACCACUUUCAACUCUUUUAGCAGUUGCUUCUAGUAUUUCUAAAUAAUAUGUUUAUAUUGAUUUCUUGAUUUUUCUAAUUUAGAAAUCAUCCAUGACUUCCUGCAAUGGAAGAUGAGGACACAGCUAAGUAUGAACAUUCAUCUUUUGAGGGCCACACAGGCACAAAUGUUACAGCUACAAGAGGAAAGAAGGUCACAACUGAGGAAAAGGGGCUGAGGGAACUCAAAAAAUACUGCAACUGGCAACAGAGACCACCAUCAAGGGAUAAAAUUACUUCAGCACCUACACACAAAACGCAGAGCAGCUGGAGAAAGGGGCAUGGGAAAAAAAGGCUGCUCAAGAGCAAACCUGAAGACCCUGUUUAUUAGCCAUUUCUCUCCCUGCAAGUGACUGGCAAUCCAUUUUGACUGAACUUGGGAUUCUGAGAUGCUCCGAAUGCCCUCUCUGGUGUUUUUACAGUUGAGGGGAGAAGAGGGUCUGUUCUCCAGGUAAUCUAACACCUCAAGGCUCUGGAUGAUGCAUUAUGCAUGGUUCAUGCAAGACACUGCAGAAAUCCAAUCAGGAGAUGCACACAAGAAAAAACCUUGGCCCUACAUCAAAACAGUAGCAACAAAUGUGGAGUCCUGAGAACUAGUUGCCCCUGGGCUAUGGAGAAAGGGAGCUAAUAAAAUGACCAUGGUGGCAUCAUCAUCAAUAUAGGAACCCGGUGAAUGACUACAUUCGGAUCGCCUUCCUA